rnacentral:rRNA from 1 species
UACGUAGGUGGCAAGCGUUGUCCGGAUUUACUGGGCGUAAAGAGCGCGCAGGCGGCCAAGUCAGUCGAAUGUGAAAGCCCCCGGCUCAACUGGGGAGGGUCAUUCGAUACUGCUCGGCUCGAAGACAGGAGAGGGAAGUGGAAUUCCCGGUGUAGUGGUGAAAUGCGUAGAUAUCGGGAGGAACACCAGUGGUGAAGGCGACUUUCUGGCCUGUUCUUGACGCUGAGGCGCGAAAGCUAGGGGAGCAAACGGG